rnacentral:rRNA from 1 species
AAAUUGAAGAGUUUGAUCAUGGCUCAGAUUGAACGCUGGCGGCAGGCAUAACACAUGCAAGUCGAACGGUAACAGGAAGCAGCUUGCUGCUUCGCUGACGAGUGGCGGACGGGUGAGUAAUGUCUGGGAAACUGCCUGAUGGAGGGGGAUAACUACUGGAAACGGUGGCUAAUACCGCAUAACGUCGCAAGACCAAAGAGGGGGACCUUCGGGCCUCUUGCCAUCAGAUGUGCCCAGAUGGGAUUAGCUUGUUGGUGAGGUAACGGCUCACCAAGGCGACGAUCCCUAGCUGGUCUGAGAGGAUGACCAGCCACACUGGAACUGAGACACGGUCCAGACUCCUACGGGAGGCAGCAGUGGGGAAUAUUGCACAAUGGGCGCAAGCCUGAUGCAGCCAUGCCGCGUGUAUGAAGAAGGCCUUCGGGUUGUAAAGUACUUUCAGCGGGGAGGAAGGUGUUGUGGUUAAUAA